ACUUCAAGAACCCUACAGAAGCUUAUUAUGGCUUCCCCAAGUUUUGUAAGGGAGGACGAAGUCCCUAUGAGUUUUUUUGUAUUCCAUCUACGCUACUUUAGCAAUCAGGAUCCGGGUUGCAUUUCUCUUUCUUAUACUCAGUCAUACGCACCAAUCUUAUCAUAUUGGACUCCAAGAACACUAUAGAAGCUUUUUAUGGCUUCCCCAAGUUUUGUAUGG
rnacentral:lncRNA from 1 species